rfam:Schistosoma rodhaini strain Burundi genome assembly, scaffold: SROB_scaffold0007301
AUACAACUGACGAGUCCCAAAUAGGAGGAGAUGAGCGUCAUGGAU